CGCCCCAUAUCCCCUUCAUUAAUUGGUCGCGCCUCUCUUUCUUGAUUCCAGAGAAAUCCAGCCACUGCCGCCGCUCCGAUCCGCCGUCGAGGUCCGGCCGUGAGGAAGUUUGGAGAUCUGCUAUUGGUAAAAUCAAGAUUGGUGAGCUUCAUCAGAUGACAUGUUGGAUAAAACAGAAUCGAGCAAACGAAAUUUACAAUCUCAAGCUGAAGGUUCCACCCUUUAUUUCCUACUAGUUCUAACCUUUAUCAAAAUGAUAAUGUGAACAGUAUCGGAUAGCUUGUAAAUUAACCUUUGAGGCUGUUUUUGCUGCCUCACGUGGCAAUGGGGUAAAUCAUCCCAAUCUGCACUUUUAUUCAAGCCAAAUGGUUCUCCAAAAGGACCCUCAUUAUGCUAGUCCCUACGGUUCCUUUUUUGAUUUAUCUGCCUAAGAAAGCUAAUUCAAACACUAGUGCUGAAGGAUUCAACACUUGCUAGCAUCAUCCAAAUUGCUGCCUAAAUUAUUGAAGACGACAAAAUUCACAAGGACCUCGUUGAUGUCAGUGGG